AGAGUUUGAUCAUGGCUCAGAAUGAACGUUGGUGGCGUGGAUUAGGCAUGCAAGUCGAACGAAUCCCAUUUGGGAAACUGGAUGGGGGAAGUGGCGAAAGGGGCAGUAAGGCGUGGGUAACCUGCCCCGGAGUCUGGAAUAGCCUUCCUAACGGAAGGGUAAUACCAGAUGCCGUAGCGAGGGGGAAUCCUCUUGUUACGAAAGCUCUGGCGCUCCGGGAGGGGCUCACGUGGUAUUAGCUAGUUGGUGAGGUAACGGCUCACCAAGGCCAAGAUGCCUAGCAGGUGUGAGAGCACGACCUGCGCCACUGGCACUGGGACACUGGCCAGACUCCUACGGGAGGCUGCAGUCGAGGAUCUUCGGCAAUGGGCGCAAGCCUGACCGAGCGACGCCGCGUGUGCGAUGAAGGCCUUCGGGUUGUAAAGCACUGUCGAGGGGGAGAAAAGCCCGCAAGGGUUUGAUCGACCUCUGGAGGAAGCACGGGCUAAGUUCGUGCCAGCAGCCGCGGUAAGACGAACCGUGCAAACGUUGUUCGGAAUCACUGGGCUUAAAGGGCGCGUAGGCGGGCAGGCAAGUCGAAGGUGAAAUCCCACGGCUCAACCGUGGAAGUGCCCCCGAUACUGCCUGUCUUGAGGGAGAUAGGGGCGUGCGGAACUUCCGGUGGAGCGGUGAAAUGCGUAGAUAUCGGAAGGAACACCGGUGGCGAAAGCGGCGCGCUGGAUCUCUUCUGACGCUGAUGCACGAAAGCCAGGGGAGCAAACGGGAUUAGAUACCCCCGUAGUCC
rnacentral:rRNA from 1 species